AAGAAUCAUGGUAGCCUUUUCUUCCCCACUGUCAAUAGAUGGUGUGGAAAAGCCAUAACUCUAUUUUAGAGCACAUACUUUGCCUCCUGAGGAUCCCAGUUUCAAUCAGUGUCAUCUGCAGAAGGGUGAGGAGGAACUUCUAGAGGAAACUCUGCAGGAGAUGAACCUCUAGAGGAGCAGCAGGAUAAUGCAAGUGUUUUGGCUUUACAGGUGUUCCGAGCCCAUACUUAUGGGGAGGUAUUGCUGCAAGCCUUUUCCUGCUUAUCUUGUUGCUAUUGGUCUUUGUAUGGUACAAAAAAAGGAGAAAAGGCUCCAUAACCAACGAAGACAACCCAGCGGUGAGCACGGCCUUAACAGCUGAUGCUGGAGAACACCUGGAUGAAGUCUCCUAUGCUGUUUUGCAUCACCAGCCACAGAAAACCCAACAGGCCACCAAUCCUGGCAAAACCUCUGAACUUUGCUUAUAUGCAACAGUGGCCACAACUACAACUGCAAAGAAGCAAUAGGCAGAACUUUUCAGGCAUGGAUGUCGUAUUAUAGGACCUUGGGGGACUUGAGUCAAACAUUACCAAGAACGUCUUAUUUUUAUUUCCCCACAGUCAUGCAGAUAGACAUGUAACUGUAGAUGCCAAAUAUAAGGGCCAGAUCUUACCGGUGGCUCCAGAAAUGCGAUCAUCAGAAUGCUCUUGACUACAGUACUUAGGACAACGGUGGAGACUGGUGAAGCAAUUCACUCUGUGAAACCAUCAGGUGCCAUGGAGCAGUAGUAGAAGCCAUGUGGAGCAUUGGAGUGCUGGCAUAUGGGAGGUGGUUCCCUGGGCAUUGAGGCACACGCUCUUCGCAUAUCACUCUUGCAUCCAUCAGUAAACUCACUUAUAGGAAAUUGAAGGAAGUUGUUGACGCUGAAAUCUACUCCUGAUCUGUGGCAAUGGUUCCUUCCCAUAUGCUCUUAGUCAAUCUUUGAAUUAGUCUUUUUUGAGCAAAGUGGCCAGGACAAAGAUUUUCAAAAAGUGUUGUCAUAUUAUUUAUAACACAGCUUCCAGGCCUUUUUCCCCUUGUCCUUUCCCCUCUUUUUCACUGUUGUACUUGUCCAUUUUUAAGACUCUGUUGAUCUUUUGAUGCUAUUGCAUGCCUUUGUAUUUUAAUUUCCUUCAUUGGUUUGUCAUAAUAAAAUAAAUCUUGA